GAGAGUGCCAUUGUUGCAAUGAGACCUGCCCUCACUAGCCGAUCAUCAGCAUCAGAUGGAGGAUUCAACAAGUACCUGGAAGCCUACUAAUCAAUCAAUUGUAAGGUAGUGUCUGUAUGUAUGUGUGUGUAUAUAUUAUAAUCCACCCAUCAAUUGUCUGCUAUACAAAAAUUAGGAAGUCUUUGUUAUCAAUGUUGGAAUGGUUAUUGUAAUCACUUUUAGUAAAUAGUAAAUCAUUU
rnacentral:misc_RNA from 1 species